rnacentral:rRNA from 1 species
AGUGAACGCUGGCGGUAGGCCUAACACUUGCAAGUCGAACGGCAGCACAGUAAGAGCUUGCUCUUACGGGUGGCGAGUGGCGGACGGGUGAGGAAUACAUCGGAAUCUACUUUUUCGUGGGGGAUAACGUAGGGAAACUUACGCUAAUACCGCAUACGACCUACGGGUGAAAGCAGGGGAUCUUCGGACCUUGCGCGAUUGAAUGAGCCGAUGUCGGAUUAGCUAGUUGGCGGGGUAAAGGCCCACCAAGGCGACGAUCCGUAGCUGGUCUGAGAGGAUGAUCAGCCACACUGGAACUGAGACACGGUCCAGACUCCUACGGGAGGCAGCAGUGGGGAAUAUUGGACAAUGGGCGCAAGCCUGAUCCAGCCAUACCGCGUGGGUGAAGAAGGCCUUCGGGUUGUAAAGCCCUUUUGUUGGGAAAGAAAAGCAGCAGGUUAAUACCCCGCUGUUCUGACGGUACCCAAAGAAUAAGCACCGGCUAACCUCGUG